AACGAACGCUGGCGGCAGGCCUAACACAUGCAAGUCGAGCGGACAUCUUCGGAUGUUAGCGGCGGACGGGUGAGUAACGCGUGGGAACGUGCCCUUUGCUUCGGAAUAGCCUAGGGAAACUGGGAGUAAUACCGGAUGUACCCUUUGGGGGAAAGAUUUAUCGGCAAAGGAUCGGCCCGCGUUGGAUUAGGUAGUUGGUGGGGUAAUGGCCUACCAAGCCGACGAUCCAUAGCUGGUUUGAGAGGAUGAUCAGCCACACUGGGACUGAGACACGGCCCAGACUCCUACGGGAGGCAGCAGUGGGGAAUCUUAGACAAUGGGGGAAACCCUGAUCUAGCCAUGCCGCGUGAGCGAUGAAGGCCUUAGGGUUGUAAAGCUCUUUCACCGGGGAAGAUAAUGACGGUACCCGGAGAAGAAGCCCCGGCUAACUCCGUG
rnacentral:rRNA from 1 species